rnacentral:rRNA from 1 species
CUUUGAUCCUGGCUCAGGAUGAACGCUAGCUACAGGCUUAACACAUGCAAGUCGAGGGGCAGCGGGAUUGAAGCUUGCUUCAAUUGCCGGCGACCGGCGCACGGGUGAGUAACGCGUAUCCAACCUUCCGUACACUCAGGGAUAGCUUUUCGAAAGAAAGAUUAAUACCUGAUAGUAUCUUAAGCACACAUGUAAUUAAGAUUAAAGAUUUAUCGGUGUACGAUGGGGAUGCGUUCCAUUAGGUAGUAGGCGGGGUAACGGCCCACCUAGCCGACGAUGGAUAGGGGUUCUGAGAGGAAGGUCCCCCACAUUGGAACUGAGACACGGUCCAAACUCCUACGGGAGGCAGCAGUGAGGAAUAUUGGUCAAUGGACGAGAGUCUGAACCAGCCAAGUAGCGUGAAGGAUGCAGGUCCUACGGAUUGUAAACUUCUUUUAUAAGGGAAUAAACCCUCCCACGUGUGGGAGCUUGUAUGUACCUUAUGAAUAAGCAUCGGCUAACUCCGUGCCAGCAGCCGCGGUAAUACGGAGGAUGCGAGCGUUAUCCGGAUUUAUUGGGUUUAAAGGGAGCGCAGACGGGUCGUUAAGUCAGCUGUGAAAGUUUGGGGCUCAACCUUAAAAUUGCAGUUGAUACUGGCGUCCUUGAGUGCGGUUGAGGUGUGCGGAAUUCGUGGUGUAGCGGUGAAAUGCUUAGAUAUCACGAAGAACUCCGAUUGCGAAGGCAGCACACUAAUCCGUAACUGACGCUCAUGCUCGAAAGUGUGGGUAUCAAACAGGAUUAGAUACCCUGGUAGUCCACACGGUAAACGAUGGAUACUCGCUGUUGGCGAUAUACUGUCAGCGGCUUAGCGAAAGCGUUAAGUAUCCCACCUGGGGAGUACGCCGGCAACGGUGCAACUCAAAUGAAUUGACGG